rnacentral:rRNA from 1 species
CCAAUAGCGUAUAUUAAAGUUGUUGCAGUUAAAAAGCUCGUAGUUGAAUUUUGGGUUUGGCCGAUUGGUCCGUUCUUGUAACGAGUACUGGUCGGUUGGGCCUCACCGCUUGGUGAUGCGUAAUGCCCUUUAUUGGGUGUUGCGAGUAGCCAAGACCUUUACCUUGAAAAAAUUAGAGUGUUUAAAGCAGGCAUAUGCCGGAAUACAUUAGCAUGGAAUAAUAGAAUAGGACAACGAUUCUAUUUUGUUGGUUUCUAGGACCGUUGUAAUGAUUAAUAGGGAUAGUUGGGGGCAUUAGUAUUCAAUUGUCAGAGGUGGAAUUCGUGGAUUUAUUGAAGACUAACUACUGCGAAAGCAUUUGCCAAGGAUGUUUUCAUUAAUCAAGAACGAAAGUUAGGGGAUCGAAGACGAUCAGAUACCGUCGUAGUCUUAACCAUAAACUAUGCCGACUAGGGAUCGGGCGAAGUUGUUUCAAUGACUCGCUCGGCACCUUAUG